rnacentral:rRNA from 1 species
GACGAACCGAGCGAACGUUGUUCGGAAUCACUGGGCUUAAAGGGCGCGUAGGCGGACUAUCAAGUCUGGGGUGAAAUCCCGCGGCUCAACCGUGGAACUGCCUCAGAUACUGACGGUCUCGAGGGAGGUAGGGGCAUGCGGAACUGUGGGUGGAGCGGUGAAAUGCGUUGAUAUCUACAGGAACUCCGGUGGCGAAAGCGGCGUGCUGGACCUCUUCUGACGCUGAGGCGCGAAAGCUAGGGGAGCAAACGGG